UACCGCGGUUAGACGUUUAGGCCCAGGUUGAUAGAUUUCGGCGUAAAGAGUGGUUAAGUGUAUGGUGGGCUAAGGUCGAACGUCCCCCUGGCUGUGAUACGCAUUUUUGGAGGAGUGAAGCUCGUAUGCGAAGGUAGCCUUAUGUGCCUUGAAUCCACGAAAGCUGGGGAA
rnacentral:rRNA from 1 species